AGCGAACGCUGGCGGCAGGCCUAACACAUGCAAGUCGAACGAACUCUUCGGAGUUAGUGGCGGACGGGUGAGUAACACGUGGGAACGUGCCUUUAGGUUCGGAAUAACUCAGGGAAACUUGUGCUAAUACCGAAUGUGCCCUUCGGGGGAAUGAUUUAUCGCCUUUAGAGCGGCCCGCGUCUGAUUAGCUAGUUGGUGAGGUAAAGGCUCACCAAGGCGACGAUCAGUAGCUGGUCUGAGAGGAUGAUCAGCCACAUUGGGACUGAGACACGGCCCAAACUCCUACGGGAGGCAGUAGUGGGGAAUCUUGCGCAAUGGGCGAAAGCCUGACGCAGCCAUGCCGCGUGAAUGAUGAAGGUCUUAGGAUUGUAAAAUUCUUUCACCGGGGACGAUAAUGACGGUACCCGGAGAAGAAGCCCCGGCUAACUUCGUGCCAGCAGCCGCCGCAG
rnacentral:rRNA from 1 species